rnacentral:rRNA from 1 species
UACGGGGGGAGCAAGCGUUGUUCGGAUUUACUGGGCGUAAAGGGCGCGUAGGCGGCCACGACAAGUCACUUGUGAAAUCUCCGGGCUUAACUCGGAACGGUCAAGUGAUACUGUCGGGCUAGAGUGCAGAAGGGGCAACUGGAAUUCUCGGUGUAGCGGUGAAAUGCGUAGAUAUCCGGAGGAACACCGGUGGCGAAGGCGGCUUCCUGGACCGACACUGACGCUGAGGCGCGAAAGCUAGGGGAGCAAACGGG